UCCUGCCCGACAGACGACCGCGAACGCGUCAAAAACUCGCCGGGGGCCGGCGGGCGCGGGAAAUCCCGCCCGUCGGCUCCCGAGCCCAACCCAACUCCCGGCGCGGACGCGCCAAGGACCUCUCAAAACGGACCGCCGGCCCACCCUGCGGCUCCCGCAGGGCGAGCCGGGCGUCUGAUCGUUAACCAAAACGACUCUCGGCAACGGAUCUCUAGGCUCUCGCAUCGAUGAAGAACGUAGCGAAAUGCGAUACCUGGUGUGAACUGCAGAAUCCCGUGAACCAUCGAGCUUUUGAACGCAAGUUGCGCCCGAAGCCCCAGGCUGAGGGCACGUCUGCCUGGGCGUCACGCAUCGCGUCGCCACCCCCCUCCUCGCCUUUAGAAAUAUGGACGGACGGGAGGUGACGGAUCUUGGCCUCCCGUGCCCCCGCGGCGCGGCCGGCCUAAGGUCUGAACUCAUCAACUCGGUAGCUGUCGCGACGACGCCCGACGGGGAACUCUCCCGACCCUAGGGCUGCCGGCCCCGAGAGGAGCCGCUAGCCUUCGACCGCGACCCCAGGUCAUGCGGGAUUACCCGCUGAGUUUAAGCAUAUCAAUAAGCGGAGGAAAGAA
rnacentral:rRNA from 1 species